CCAAGCGUGCUUGGCGAUGCUCAGGCUUCAGCUUCUUCAUUCUUUUCAGCCUUUUUGUUCCUUCUUGCGCCUAAGUGUCCAUGCUUCCACUAAAACUUCAAAUACCUGAAACUUAAGUGUUUUCAUCAGAUAUUUAGAAUAAAUAAGCAUUUGAGGAUACUAUUUUUAUUAAAAUAAAGCCCUAAAUGAGUCCAAUUCGUGGACUCAUCAGCCACCUGCGGAGUAGACACAUUCUAAUGAGGUUUAACAGGAUUAAAGAUUACAUUAGUAUGUUAUCCAAAAACUCGUAUUACAUAAUAGCCAAAGAUGGUUAUGCAUAUCAAAUGCGCCCGUUCAUAUAUGGUGCAAUCUUCAAGGCAAGUGAACAAACCUCGCAAGCCACAACCUAGAUCUCUUUCCAAGAUAUCCUUCCUACUUUCUUUGUGAAGGAGGUAUUGUUCUCGUUAGAGGCAAUAGUAGGGGAACCAUUGCACCUAAAUCUUGCAACAAUCAACAAGACUCGGACAAGUUGUGCAAGGGUGAAGGUUCAACUGGAUUUGCUAGUGGACAAUCCUCAAUAUGUUCAAAUGCAGAUAGAAAAUAACAAUAAUCAGGAUAUUAAAAUCAUUAAAGUUAAAAUACUUUAUGACUCACUCCCAUCAUAUUGCAAGAAAUGUAGAAUUCAGGGUCACAAAGAGGAGGAGUGCAUGAUAUUGCAUCCAGAAUUACAACAGGAGAAACAACACGAGAAGGAAGCAAUCAUACCACAACAACUUUACAAAAUGUAGUUUUAUAAAGGAGCAGUGAUCAGUAAAUGGAAGCCCACCACAAGGGUGUUUACAAAGAAGGCGGGACAAAUAAUGGGAGAAAAGGCUGUAGAAAGACAUGAGAACAUCAGUACCAACAAUUCUUUUAAUGUGUUUAAUCAACAUGAGCAUGAUGAAGCAGCCAUUAUGGAAGAAGGAUUAAUACAUAAUAAGGAACAAGGAGGAAAAUGGAUAGCAGGGGACAACACAACACUAGCUACCUCGGCACAAGGAAAAGGAAGCGAUCACAACAACGUAUCAAGAAGGGAAAUAGUAAAAUAGAAUGUUCAGAGUAAUGCAUGUCAUAUAGUGCUGAGAGAUAGUAAACCAGAACACUAUGAUGAAAUAAUGGAUGCCAGGAAUGAAGUCAUGGACAAAGGGUACACAACAUAAAUAACUUUGAUUGACACGACACAUGGAGAGAAUGAGGCUCUAGAUACACAAAAUGUUUUGGAACAUGCCACUUACCAUAUCCCGAUGCACAUAGUAGACCCAAUAUUGGAUGGUAUCCAUCUAAAUAUUCAGAUCAGGUUCUAUUGAAGGAUACAUAGAAGGUUCCCAAUCAGCAGCUGCUAGUUGCUGUUGGCCCAAAAUUGCAGCAUACUCAGACCCUGCAUGAAUUAGUCUCCCAUCAGGGACAAAUAGAGGAGAAAAAAAAAUAAGAGUUACACAAAAGUCAGUUUGAUAGAAGAUAAAGGGGAAGUUAGUAACUUACUAAUAGCAGAAAAGGUACAUACAAAUUAUCUCCCCCUACAACAUCAAAGAGUAAAGGAAAAAAUAGAGGUGAAGCUUUACCCAUAAGAACCAACCCUAGGUUGGGUGUCAAGAAUUGCGCUAAAUGAUGAUGAAGACACUAUUCUGGAAUGUGAGGUCUGUUAGAACUCAAAAUUCAUUCCAUAGAAUUCAAAUAUUGCAUAGACAUCACAAGUUCCCUAUUAUAGCUUUGAUGGAGCCAUUUCAAAGUGUUAAUAGAAUCUAAAAGUACAAAGGGAAGUUGGGCAUGGAGUAUGCUAAUUAUAAUACAAUGGUAAAAUUUGGGUCUUUAUCCAGGAGCAUGUUCAGGUGGAAGUGUUAGCUGAUUUAGAACAAAUGUUAUCAUUGGGACUCCAAUUUCUAGAAACAGAUCAACUAAUGAUGGCUUCAAUUGUGUAUGCAAAGUGUGAAGCAAUAGAAAGAUUGAAUCUGUGGAAUGAUAUCUAUCAGAUUAGUAGUUAAAUCAAUGAUUCUCUCUUGUUGAUUGGGGGUGACUUUAAUAUCAUUAUAAAUGAGGAAGAAAAAAUUGGGGGUCUUCCAGUAUAUCCUAAUGAAUAUGAGGAUUUUGCAUUUUGUGUAAAUUUGUGUGAAUUGGUGGGUAUCAAUUUUAAAGGAAGUCCAUUCACAUGGUGGAAUGGUAGGAUUAAUUGUGAGUGUAUCUUCAAAAGAUUUGAUAGAUAUUUGAUGAAUCAGUCUUUUAUUAGAAAGUUUGGUAUGUGGAAUCUGAGCAUUUAGCAAGAACAGGUUCUGAUCAUGCUCAUUUACUGCUCACUUGUGGUCAACAGACUAACAUUGUAAGAAAGGGAUGAUUUUCUGCAGGUGGUGAAUGACAGUUGGGUAGCUUCAGAAGAGGAGGAUGUGUUUGUUAGGCUCAAGCAUAAGUUGGAAAAAAAACUAAAGUAGCUUUUUUCCAAUUGGAGUAAAGCUACAUUUAGGGAUAUUUUCAAGCAAUUAUCUAUUAGAGAAGAAAUAGUUAAGGUGAAGGAAGAACUAUUUGUAGAAGAUCCUUCAGCAGAUAACAUAAUGAUUCUUCAGCAGGCUCAAGAAGAAUUGAAGAACUAUAUACACUAUGAAGAGGAGUUUUGGAGACAAAAUUUAGGAAUCCAAUGGUAUACAGAAGGGGGGAAGAAUACUAUGUCUUUCCACAACUUAGUUAAGGAAGGAGAAAGAGGUUGGCUUUUACCAGGAUUUAAAAUAUGGAGGGAUCAUAGGUGGAAGGUUCAGAGCAAAUUGCAGCAUCUGCUCAAGAAUUUUAUCAGAAUCAAUUCACAGGGGAUCAAAAUGAAAGAGAAGUGUCAUUAAUGCAAAAUAUCCAUAGAGUUGUUUUUGAGGAAAAUAAAAGAAUUCUCAAUGCAAUGACUACUAAGGAGGAAAUCAAGAGGGUGUUUGGGUUAAAUGGAGAUAGUGCACGUGGCCUUGAUGUGUUUACUGGUCAAUUCUAUCAAAAAUGCUGGCAUAUUGUUGGAGAUGAUGUGGUUGAGGUGGUAGGUGCCUUCUUUCAGGGUAGCACUCUUCCUAAGUCCAUCACACAUACUAAUUUGAUGUUUUUGCCAAAAAAGGAAGUUAUUCAAUCUUUCUUAGACAUGAGGCAAAUUAGCUUGAGAAAUUUUAUCAACAAAGUUAUUUCCAGGGUGGUGAUGAUAGGCUGGGUAGUUUUCUCCCUUUUCUGAUUUAAUAAAAUCAAUCAGGAUUUGUAAAGGGGAGAAGCAUCACUGAGAAUGCUCUACUAGCUCAGGAAAUUAUUACAGAUAUCAGGAAAAGGGGUAAGCCAGCUAAUGUGGUGAUCAAGUUGGACAUGGCUAAGACUUAUGAUAGAAUCGACUGGAAUUUUCUUAUUAAAGUGAUGGAGAAGAUGUAUUUUGAUUCCGUUGAAGUAGAUAAGAUUUGGAGGCUGGUUGCUAACAAUUGGUAUUCUAUUCUUAUAAAUGGUCAAGCUCAUGGUUUAUUUCAGUCUUCAAGGGGAGUGAAGCAAUGGGAUCAUUUAUCUCCUGCCUUGCUUAUUUUAACUACUAAAGUGUUAACAAGAGCUCUUAAUUCAUUGUUCAGCAAUGAAGCUUAUAUGAGUUAUGGAUUACCUAAGUGUAGUGACAACAUCAAUCAUCUAGCUUAUGCUUAUGAUACUAUUAUUUUUACCUCUGCUGAUGGGAAAUCACUUAAUAUGUUGAUGCAAAUUUUAAAAGAUUGUGAGGCACAAUCAGGGCAGAUGAUUAAUAAGGAGAAGAGUUCCUUCUUUGUCUAUCAUAAGACUACCCAGAAUUUGAUUACAGAGAUUGAAGUGAAGACUGCUUUUGCUAAAGGUAAGUUCCCUCUGAUAUAUUUGGGUUGUCCUAUUAGAAGUGAUAAAAAGAGAAAGGUGCACUUUGCUGAAUUAAUGAAAAAAGUUCUCAAUAAGCUUCAAACUCGGAAGAGUAAGAUGCUCUCUUUUGGGGGUAAAACAAUUUUGAUUAAAAAUGUUCUCAAUAGUAUCCCUAUUUAUCUCCUGUCUUCUAUUAAUACUCCAAGUUGUAUGAUUCAUGAUUUACAUAGAGUGUUUGCUAUAUUUAUGUGGAAUUUCAGGGCUACAAGAAGAAACAGGCAUUGGGUGGCUUGGAGUGACAUCUAUAACAAAGAAGAAAGUGGAUUGGGGUUUAGAUCCCUUUUUGAUGUAUCUAAGGCUCUUUGUGCAAAAUUGUGGUGGACUUUUAGAACAGAAAAGUCCUUAUGGACUAACUUUAUGUGGAAUAAGUACUAUAAAGGGGAGAGGGCCCAGGUGGUGGAAUGGAAAGGUGGUUCACUAACAUGAAAAUAGAUGUUGGAGUCUAGAGAAAUGUUUGAUCAACAAAUAUGGUGGGAACCUAAAUGUGGUCACUAAAGUGUCUGGUAUGAUAAUUGGACAAAUUUGGGGGGCCUCCACUAUUUUCUCCCUAUUUAUGCAACUAGGGAUACUCAUCUUGAGGAGGUUAGUCAAUGUUUUACACAAGUAGAGUGGAAUUAUGGUAUGCUGCAUGUCAAUUUUGAGGAGGAUAUUAGCAAUCAUAUCAUUCAACAGUUGAGUUGUACAGAGGACAUAGAUCACUAGGACAAACCUUGGUGGAUGCUAAAUGCUGCUAGAAAGUUUUCAGUGAGUUCUGCCUUGGAGUAUUUGAGGGAUAAAAGUGAGUUGUGUAUGAACUACAAGCUUAUCUGGAUGAAAGGGAUCCCUUUCAAGGUGUUUUUUUUUCCAUACGGAGACUUUAGAGAAACAGGAUACCUAUAGGGGAAGUUUUAAUUUUGUACAAGAUUUGUGAAGAUGUAUUGUAUGUUUGUUGUGAUGAAGGAGUGCAGGAGUCUAUUGAAAUCUAUUUAGUAGAUGUACAAUGUCCAACUCAUUAUGAAGAUACUUUGCUAAUACAGUAGGAGUUGAGGGCUCUUUCGUGACCUAAAAGACAGUGUUUACAAAUGGUGGAACACAGAUGCAUCAACAAAACUCAUUCCUAUCUUAAAAGUUAUACCUAUGUUUAUUUUGUGGCAAGUGUGGAAGAGAAAAAACAUAAUUAGAUAUGGAGGGAAGAUGUCUUAUUUAAAUAUGAGUAGGGAAAUAACCAGGAAUUUAUUUUUCCUGGCAAGUCCCUAUAUCCAUGGAAGCACAACAUACAUGAUAAUUGGUCGGAUUUGAUAAGCUUUUUAACAAAUUAUACCCCUAAAAUUAGUUGUAAAGUUGUGUAUCGAAAGAUGCCUUGAAGGGGAGAAUAUAAAAGUAAUUCUGAUGGAGCUUUGAAAGGUAAUCUUGGUCCUAGCUCAUGUGUUUCUGCAUAAGAAAUGACCAGGGGGAUCUUAUUUAUGCUGAAGGAAAAAGGAUUGGCAUAGCUAAUAACUUGGUGGCAGAGGUGGUGGCUUGGAGAAUGGGUAAAGAAUACUGCAGGGUGAAUAAUUUAUUCCCUUUAACACUGGAGACCGAUUCUCAAGCUUUUAAGAAUAUGAUUGAUGGUUCAUGGGAUAUACCUUGGGAAGUUUCUUUGGAGAUUAGAAUAAUUCAAGAGCUCAUGAAAGGGAUGGAGGUGGUCAUUGAACACACAUUGAGGGAGGGCAACAGAAUGGCGGAUUUUUUAGCUAAUCUAGUUUUUUCUUUUGUAGGUACUGAGAUAAUAUCGUUUAACACCUUUCAAGAUUUACCCAAAAAGGCGAAGACAUUACUAAACAUGGAUAAGAGUCAGACACCAAACCACAGAAUCAAACACUUCCAGAAUGGGAAUUUUAGAAUUGAGGGAGGAUAAACAAAAUCAAGUUGCUCAAUUGGCAAAUAAGAUGGUAUAAUUCAAAAUCCAUCAAGAAGCAAAUGAACUGGUAGUAGUUGAUCGAUUACAUUGAUAAUACGUGAAAUUAAUAGAAAAUGGGAGCAGUGUACCUGGUUUCGUUCAAUAUAGCGCUCUUUCUAAAUCCUUAGGCAGUGGUAUUAGUUCCUUGUUGAGCUCAAGCUGUCGAGGGUGAAGAAGGAUGAUGUAGUGAGCUAAAUUGGUACGACAAGUUUUGGUACAAGAAAAAUCGGAAUACACAUUUUCUAAGUAGAGUAGACCUGGAAAUAGUUGAGUUGGCGAAGUCUCCGGUGAGAACGAUUUUGUGGCGUUGGUGGGAUCUACAAUGCUCGAUUUGAAAUACCCCAAAACUCAAAUUGUAUCCAAAUCUUACCUCUACACAACAAUGGUUGUAAUCCAAUGGUGAAAGAGUCAAGCUUUUCCUCUGCUGCAAGAGCUCAGACGAAGAAGACGAUGGCUGAAGUUCCGAUUUCACCUACAUCUUUCCCUUUUGUCAAAUUUUAGUUUCCUUUUUUCCAUAUUUAGUGAUUUGGUAGGAGUGUUUGUUUGGACUGGCUCUAUUUUGGGCCUGGCCAUUUUUGUGCAGUUCUUUUUUAAUAAAUGGG
rnacentral:lncRNA from 1 species